GUUCGUGAAGGAGAAAUAGCACCAUUGCGUCACGCCAUGUCAGCCCAAGCUCAGUGUUACCUCGAUCUCCCCGUUACUCCUUCCUCGUCGUGUCACCUACCCAACAGUGCCCAGCGGCGACACGUGUGACUCAUCCAGUGCCAGGGGGGUGAGGCCGUGCCGUUCCGGAGCCUGAAGGAGCGGCAGAGGGAGGAAUUGUCUUGUGGUGAGCGACGAAACCCCCAACGGCCGGUGAUGAGCUCGUCGUGCAGUACUGAAGCAGGAUUGACGUGAACGGCGGCCCAGUGUAAUUUCAUCAGGCGGAAGGCAACAAGUCCCGAGGCAGACGAGCGGGCGAACAGACGGACAUACGGAGAGACAGGUCCGCUGCCAACUCAAAAUAAAAGACAAACAUCGCCUCUUCGAAUCACCGUCUUAAAGUAAUUCUAGUCCGUCUCCCCGUCUACAUCCUCUUCCUUCUGCUCCUGCUCCUGCUUCUGCUCCUCUAUCACAGAGCCACCAAAGUCGUCCAGGGAUGUUUGUCUCAUAGAUUCAUAGGUGGAGGUGAGUGUGUUUGAGUGUUUAUUUUCCGGACUAUGUAUGUUGUUUUAUGUAUCAUGGCGCUUGUGGUGGGUGGUAUGAUAAAAGUAAGAGUGGUGGUGGUGGUGGUUAUGUAGGUGGAAGUGGUUUACUGAUGGUAUAAUCUGUUUAAACGAAGGGUUCCUGUAGCGUCUAGGCAGCGUUUGUUAGAUCUUUCUUGGGCGGCUUAAUUCUCUCUUCACUCUCAAAAUCAUACUCUCUUGCUACAUGUUCCUGUAUUGAUUUAUCAUGUCAUUGUUAGCACCAUUAAGCCCAAGAGUGAUCGUAAAACUCGCUUAAGUUCGUCAUAUUUUUAGCUACUUAACGGAUUCUGGGUUAUAAAUUAUAUGAUAACCUCACAUUAUAAUCUUGGUAAAUCUCCCGCCAUAUUUAGCAC